rnacentral:tRNA from 1 species
ACCUGGCUGGCUCAGUCAGUAGAGCAUGUGACUUGUGAUCUCAGGGUUGUGAGUUCAAGCCCUAUGUUGGGUG